GAAGUGGAGGGGGAAGGGUGGAAGACGGCAACCAUCGCGGCGAGGUCGACUCGUUCCAGCCCGCGCCGUACGGGCGGUCGCUGCCCAGCAUCUCCACCACCUCCCGAGGUGCCGCGGCGACGCCGCCGCGGGUUUCCUCGCCCGGCUCCGCAUCUAUCCUGAAUCGCGGUUUCGGCGGAGGGUGGGGGAUCGACCCAGGAUGAGGGAGUACCUCGGCAUUAACUCCGAAUCGGGGGAGGGAGAGAGGUUGGGUCGCCGGCGGGCGGCGGCUGCCUAAGCUAUGAUGCGUUCGAGGAGGGCAGCGGUGAGGGGAUGCCUGGGGUUGGGCGGGCGCUUGUUUAGAACAAGGAGGGAGACCAAGUAGAAGAUUUUCGACAAUUACUUGGGCAGCAGGAUGGCUCCUGCUCUUAUCAAAUGGGACAGCCAACUCACUUCUUAUAGCCUGACCAACAUGGAAAGAUUGAAAUGCCUCUGCAAAGUUCUUAACAGGAACAUAUCGGUAUGUCUCGUCACUGUGUAUCCAGUAUUGUCUCUGAUCUUUCCUUGAUGUAACCUGCAUACCACAUUUCAAUUACAGUCAGUCUACUUCAGCAUUGUAGUCAAUUAUGAUCCUAGCAUUAGAAAAUCGCUGACUUUGGGACAGAGGUUUGUACAAAUAUGGUUUUUUUUAUUUCCUCAAGCAUACCAUUACAAAAUACUAAAAUAUGUUGAUGCUCUAUCUGUUGCACUUGUCAAUAAACUUUGCAUCAAAACAUUCCUAGAUAUUUCUAGUUUUGUAUUUCAAAGGUAUUUGAACAUUUCAGGGUUUUAUAGUAGCAAAUGCAUAAUUGCAGAAAGCUUGAUAGAACAUAACAAUGAAACUCACCUCCUGCAAGAAGUCUGCCACGCCUUUUCUCUCAGGACAUCUGAAACCCGCUGAUUCAAAGAACUCGAGCACUUGUUCACGGGGGCCAUUGUAGACAACCUGACCGUCUGAGAGGAGAAUUAUAUCGUCAAACAAUUCAUAUGUCUCAGGUGCUGGUUGCAGCAAGGAAAUAACUGCUGUUCCACCAAGAGUGUGAAUAGUUUGCCGGAUGGAGUUCACAAUCUGGAAGGUAGUCGAACUGUCAAGUCCAGUUGAUAUCUCGUCCAUGAAAAGGGCUCGUCCUGGCGUGACGAGCAUCUCCGCUGCAGAUGGGAUGGGUGCGUUAGAUACUUGGAUCGUACAGGACACAUGGUAUUUUACUUACUCCCUUGAUGAAUCACCUGUGGUCACUCUCUUUUUUUGCCCUCCUGAUAUUCCUCUCAACAUGUUAUUUCCUACGAUUGUGUCGGCACACAUAUCCAAUCCCAGGAUCUUCAGUGGUUGAAAAGGAAAAAAAUAAAGAAUCAGUAACAUGAACACAUUUUUGUAUUCUAUCUGUCCCUUUGAACUUAGGUGGGGAGUUUGUAUAUAUGUUGCUAGUUUGCACGCACCUUUAGUAUGUGGUUCGUGACCACCUCAGCUUUCUGUUCUCCUGUUGCAGCAGCCUAUAUAAACAAAAUGAGAGAUUAAUUAGACGUGUGUCAAAACUUUUUGAGACAUCCAGAUGGUCAAAACAGCUAGAGCUUAUAUAGCUCAAGGCUUAAUGAAUGACUUGUGAUUUAAGAACUGCACCGAACCUUCAAGUAGACGUCUAUUUCUGGAUCUGGUUUGAUAUUUGCUUCCUUUUCUCUCCUCGAUAGCUCCAUUAGAAGAUCUAGUCAUUUUGCAGAAAAUGUAAGUUUCUCAGCGUGUACUGCUACUUAUUUUUAAGUACUACUACUUGUUUUUCCCGUUCUUACCAAAGCGGUGACCACUUCCUUGACAUUUUGCAGAGAAAUUGACUGUCUCACGAACCGUCAGUUCGCCGAUAUGCAGGUCGUUUUGGCUCACAUAAGCUGCUGACCUCCGGGGCACAAACUCGUCCAUCGUGUGCCCGUUGUAUGUUAUUUUGCCUGACAUCUUUUGGGUUUCUUCAUAUAAGUAUAUAUACUUGGCAGGUGUAAUCAUGAUAUACCGAAGGGUGAAACGAUCAACCUACUUAUUUGUAAUGAGAAGAAGAAGAACAAAGAAUUAGUUACCUCGAGGCUUGAAGGGAGUGUUCCCGCCAACGCCAGGAGUAGCGUGGUUUUUCCGGCACCAGGAGGACCCAAAAGCAAGGUCAUCCUAGCAAGAGCAGGGAUGAGAGAAUUUGCCAUUCCCUGUUUGAAGUCGAUUAGGCCAUGUCAAUCGGCCGGUGUGCAUACCACAUAAUAGAGAAACGAAAAUCUAAGGUCAUGUGAGCAUCCUCGACGUCUAUCGACUAGCUCCUGACAUUGUGUUGUUCCAGUGGUCGUUGGGUGUACUUGUAUCAUCUUGAUAUUAAUACUUUUUGUGAGAAAAGAUAUUAAUAUAUAUAUAUAUAUAUAUAUAUAUAUAUU